GCCCCAGUGGCCUAAUGGAUAAGACACCGGCCUCCUACACCAGGGAUUGUGGGUCUGAGUCCCAUCUGGGGUC
rnacentral:tRNA from 1 species